rnacentral:lncRNA from 1 species
UGGUGUACGGCGAUGCGUUCGGCGGCGUGAAGAUUGUGUCGACGGUGCUAUGUAUUUGGGGAUUCUCGUCUUAUGUAUAUGGGAUUUACGUGAAGAUGAAGAAGGAUGAGGAGAAGGAGGAGGAGGAGGAGGAGGGACACACCGGUAUGAAGACGGUGGAAGACGGUGGAGAGUUAGAGUUGGAGAUGGGUAAAAUUAAAAAUGACGUGGCGGCGGCGGAUGAAAGGGUUUGAUGAUAUGUGUGAUUGAGAUAGUCGUUAUGAUUUUUAGGAAGCCAAAUAAAAAGUAGUAUCUUUUAUGUGUUCUUUCUUUUUCUUCUCAAUUUUUAUUUUUAUUUUUACUUAAUGCAUCUGCUUUUUUUGUUUUUGUUUUUAGGUUUUUUUUCCCCUUUUGAUUAUAUUUAUGAAUUAUCUAACAAUGAAUACUGAUUAUGUAAUCCUUUAAGUGAGUUUCAAUGUCGGUCGAUAGUCAUAUCUAUAUCUAUUGUAUGAAAUUACGCAUUAUUAUUUCCAUUUAGUAAAAUAUUAAAUUAUAUAAAAGGUUUAUUUGACAGAACAAAAAACAAGUAGCAAAGCAAAAAUCAAGAUCUGGCGAUUUUAGCGAAUGUGGUGACAUGGCAGCUCUGUUUCGCGGCCACGUCAGGGAUGGUUUAUUUGACGUCUAGUAUCACCGGAGGUAUCUGCAUGACGGCGUUACUAGCUAUGAAUGUGAUUGGAGGUGUGGUGGUGUACGGCGAUGCGUUCGGCGGCGUGAAGAUUGUGUCGACGGUGCUAUGUAUUUGGGGAUUCUCGUCUUAUGUAUAUGGGAUUUACGUGAAGAUGAAGAAGGAUGAGGAGAAGGAGGAGGAGGAGGAGGAGGGACACACCGGUAUGAAGACGGUGGAAGACGGUGGAGAGUUAGAGUUGGAGAUGGGUAAAAUUAAAAAUGACGUGGCGGCGGCGGAUGAAAGGGUUUGAUGAUAUGUGUGAUUGAGAUAGUCGUUAUGAUUUUUAGGAAGCCAAAUAAAAAGUAGUAUCUUUUAUGUGUUCUUUCUUUUUCUUCUCAAUUUUUAUUUUUAUUUUUACUUAAUGCAUCUGCUUUUUUUGUUUUUGUUUUUAGGUUUUUUUUCCCCUUUUGAUUAUAUUUAUGAAUUAUCUAACAAUGAAUACUGAUUAUGUAAUCCUUUAAGUGAGUUUCAAUGUCGGUCGAUAGUCAUAUCUAUAUCUAUUGUAUGAAAUUACGCAUUAUUAUUUCCAUUUAGUAAAA